GACGAACGCUGGCGGCGUGCUUAACACAUGCAAGUCGAACGGAGAGGCCCGGUUUUUGUGGGGUGCGCGAGUGGCGAACGGGUGUGUAACACGUGAGUAACCUGCCCUUGACUUUGGGAUAACUUCAGUAAACUGGGGCUAAUAUCGGAUAGGAGCUCCUGCUGCAUGGUGGGGGUGGGAAAGAUUCGGCGGUUGGGGAUGGACUCGCGGCUUAUCAGCUUGUUGGUGGGGUAGUGGCUUAACAAGGCAUUGACGGGUAGCCGGCCUGAGAGGGUGACCGGCCACAUUGGGACUGAGAUGCCGCCCGGACUCCUACGGGAGGCAGCGGUGGGGGAUAUUGCACGAUGGGCGGAAGCCUUAUGCAGCAACGCCGCGUGCGGGAUGACGGCCUGCGGGUUGUAACGCUCUUGCGCCUGUGACGAAGCGUGAGUGACGGUAAUGGGUAAAGAAGCACCGGCUAACUACGUG
rnacentral:rRNA from 1 species